UCCUCCUGAGAUAGUAUUGUUGUGGAACUGCUGAUGAAUGCAACUGAAUGUGAAACUUUUCUCUUAGCUGCGCUCAGCUCGUUCUUGUUUGUUUUUUGACAGUUUCAGUCCAUUUUACAUGGAAAUAAAGGAAGAAGUAAUUAAUCCUGACUCCUGUGAAAGGAGUUUGGAUGAUGGUUAGUUUUGGUAGAAGAGACCAUAGCAACACCAUUAUAGUGUGAAAUGUGAAUUUUGCACAGUAGGUCCCCUUUAAGAUAAUUAUUGUGUUUAAAUUAAACAAAUAUACUAGUGAUUGAAGCCAUUACUGCUGCAGAGCUCUGCUCACUCUCUGUCUUUGCUUUCUGUUCUGUGGUUUAUGCCGUGGUAAUCCACUUCUGUGGAUCAAACAACAAGGCAACAAGGAGGAGGCACAGUGACCACCCUGGAAUCUUAUCCAAAUCCCGCGGACACAAAUCGAGGACGUUCCAUUAGCUUUCCAUCAUCCUGUCCGUCCUGCUUGGCUUGAAGGCAUGACAGACUGCAGAAUCAGGACAUUUUACACAGUGAGGCUACAGGGAUCUGUCAGCGCCUCCAGGAAACUAUUUUCAGGGAUAAAGUCAGCAGAGCAUCUUGUGAGGACAUGUCAGCUGGAAGCAGAGGGAUGACUGCCGCUCAAGUUGAUGCAAUUAAAGGCAUCUGGAGGAAUGCA